UGGCAGACAAAUCAGGGCUCCACAAAGCUCACUCCUGUGGUAUGUGUGGAGCGAUCCAAGGGGGAAGAGCAGAGGGGCAAGUCUGGGGGCUCCUGGAGUAAUACAGAGAAUUAGCUCUUUGCAAAAGAGCAAAAAAGUCAUAAUGAAAACAACAGAAAGAAAGAAAGAAAGAAAGAAAGAAAGAAAGAAAGAAAGAAAGAAAGAAAGAAACUCAAGAGUGAAACUGUAUUACCCACACAAAACCAGAUCCCAAAUCAAAGCAACUCUGAGAAUGAAGGAGACAUUCCUUCCGCCGUGGGGGUCCUUUUUGUCUGCAAAGAUUAUAAAAGCAGUACAUACACAUUCUACAACAUUUCAAAAUACUGAAUGAUCUAAAGGACCUAAAGGAGAAAACCAGCUGCCACCUAGAAUGAAAAGCUGUAAGAUAUUAGUGUACCUUUUCCUGUUUCUCUUUUUCAGUGCAUUUUUCUUUUUUUUUUUCUGAAACUAAUACCAUACUUAACAUGUAGUUUGGUUUCUUGCUUUUUUAAUUUAAUAUCUAUAUUGUUAAUAUUUCCUGUAUCAUUAAAAUUCUUCAAACAUAGUUUUGAUUACUGCAUAAUGUUACAUUAUAUGAAUGCAGCAUUAUUUAUUUAAUCAAUUGCCUGUUUUUGGACAUUUAAAUUGUUUCUGAUUUUUGCUGUAAUAACAGUGGGUGAGCAUUCUAAAAAUAAAUUUGUAUAAAUAUA